rnacentral:rRNA from 1 species
GCAUCAUGAUUUACAUUUGAGUGAGUGGCGAACUGGUGAGUAACACGUGGGAAACCUGCCCAGAAGCGGGGGAUAACACCUGGAAACAGAUGCUAAUACCGCAUAACAACUUGGACCGCAUGGUCCGAGUUUGAAAGAUGGCUUCGGCUAUCACUUUUGGAUGGUCCCGCGGCGUAUUAGCUAGAUGGUGGGGUAACGGCUCACCAUGGCAAUGAUACGUAGCCGACCUGAGAGGGUAAUCGGCCACAUUGGGACUGAGACACGGCCCAAACUCCUACGGGAGGCAGCAGUAGGGAAUCUUCCACAAUGGACGAAAGUCUGAUGGAGCAACGCCGCGUGAGUGAAGAAGGGUUUCGGCUCGUAAAACUCUGUUGUUAAAGAAGAACAUAUCUGAGAGUAACUGUUCAGGUAUUGACGGUAUUUAACCAGAAAGCCACGGCUAACUACGUGCCAGCAGCCGCGGUAAUACGUAGGUGGCAAGCGUUGUCCGGAUUUAUUGGGCGUAAAGCGAGCGCAGGCGGUUUUUUAAGUCUGAUGUGAAAGCCUUCGGCUCAACCGAAGAAGUGCAUCGGAAACUGGGAAACUUGAGUGCAGAAGAGGACAGUGGAACUCCAUGUGUAGCGGUGAAAUGCGUAGAUAUAUGGAAGAACACCAGUGGCGAAGGCGGCUGUCUGGUCUGUAACUGACGCUGAGGCUCGAAAGUAUGGGUAGCAAACAGGAUUAGAUACCCUGGUAGUCCAUACCGUAAACGAUGAAUGCUAAGUGUUGGAGGGUUUCCGCCCUUCAGUGCUGCAGCUAACGCAUUAAGCAUUCCGCCUGGGGAGUACGGCCGCAAGGCUGAAACUCAAAGGAAUUGACGGGGGCCCGCACAAGCGGUGGAGCAUGUGGUUUAAUUCGAAGCUACGCGAAGAACCUUACCAGGUCUUGACAUACUAUGCAAAUCUAAGAGAUUAGACGUUCCCUUCGGGGACAUGGAUACAGGUGGUGCAUGGUUGUCGUCAGCUCGUGUCGUGAGAUGUUGGGUUAAGUCCCGCAACGAGCGCAACCCUUAUUAUCAGUUGCCAGCAUUAAGUUGGGCACUCUGGUGAGACUGCCGGUGACAAACCGGAGGAAGGUGGGGAUGACGUCAAAUCAUCAUGCCCCUUAUGACCUGGGCUACACACGUGCUACAAUGGAUGGUACAACGAGUUGCGAACUCGCGAGAGUAAGCUAAUCUCUUAAAGCCAUUCUCAGUUCGGAUUGUAGGCUGCAACUCGCCUACAUGAAGUCGGAAUCGCUAGUAAUCGCGGAUCAGCAUGCCGCGGUGAAUACGUUCCCGGGCCUUGUACACACCGCCCGUCACACCAUG